GAUCGCUGCCUCGGGGCCCGCUGGGCCACCCCUCCGUCCUCAAAAGUUUCCCUCCAAACACGGUCCCCUACGCCAACUAGGGGGUGGUGGGCGAAUCCAGGAGAAGAAUCCGAAGUCCGCAGGAAGCAUCCGACAGGGCUUCGCGUGUGCGGCCCUCCAGGCUGCUGGGUGCGAUUCUCCGCUCCCUGGUGUCUGCUGGGCUCAGGCCUGCCCAGGACGGGGGCGGGGGCGGGGGCGUUGGGGUGCGGGGCGGGCAUCCCUGGGCCCCGGCCCCGACACGCGCGGUCCGGGCCAGGGCGCACGGCCUCGGUGCAGGUCCGGGCGGUCCCCAGCUCCUCGCCCGCCGCCCCUCCCCCUUCUCCAAACUUUCUCCCAACUUCCCGACCUCCUCCGCUCUGCGCCCCGCUCCGCUUCCCUCAUGAAUUAUUCAGCAGGCGCGCUCCAAUCAGCGCGCCCCGGCCCCCCUUGCCAAGCCGCGGCUCGGGAUGGGGGAGCUCCCCCCGCCCCCCGCGCGCCCCUCCCUCCCGGCCAGGCGCCGCCCGGCCCAGUCCCCAGCCCGGCCCAGCCUCAGCCCGCCCGGCCCGCGCCGCAGUCUCCCUCCCUCCCGCUUCGCUCCCCGCUCGGCUCUCACCCUCCCCGCCGGCGCGGAGCGCACUCGGCCCGGCGGCACGAGCAGCGCCACUCCAGGGAGGGGGGGAGACCGCGAGCGGCCGGCCCACCCCCAGCAGCUUUCUGGGGCGGGACCCCGAGGCCCCGGAGGGACCCCGACUCCAGCCACGUCUAGCUCUGCGCCCGCCCGGGCGGCCGCUGCCAGGACGCCCCCCGCCUUCUCGUCUGCGCGCGCGGCCGGGACGCGGGGCCACACCUGGGCGCCGCCACCCGGUGCCCGGCGCGCCCGCAUGGGCCCGCGCUGAGGGCCCCGAGCGAGUCCCGCGCGCGGAGUUGGCGUCCACCCGCUCCGGCGGGGGUUCAGACCUGGGGGGGCUAGCGCCCCCCAAACUCGGAUCGGGU
rnacentral:lncRNA from 1 species